rnacentral:rRNA from 1 species
AGUUUGAUCAUGGCUCAGAUUGAACGCUGGCGGCAGGCUUAACACAUGCAAGUCGAGCGGGGAAAGGUAGCUUGCUACCUUACCUAGCGGCGGACGGGUGAGUAAUGCUUAGGAAUCUGCCUAUUAGUGGGGGACAACAUUUCGAAAGGAAUGCUAAUACCGCAUACGCCCUACGGGGGAAAGCAGGGGACCUUCGGGCCUUGCGCUAAUAGAUGAGCCUAAGUCGGAUUAGCUAGUUGGUGGGGUAAAGGCCUACCAAGGCGACGAUCUGUAGCGGGUCUGAGAGGAUGAUCCGCCACACUGGGACUGAGACACGGCCCAGACUCCUACGGGAGGCAGCAGUGGGGAAUAUUGGACAAUGGGGGGAACCCUGAUCCAGCCAUGCCGCGUGUGUGAAGAAGGCCUUUUGGUUGUAAAGCACUUUAAACGAGGAGGAGGCUACUUAGAUUAAUACUCUAGGAUAGUGGACGUUACUCGCAGAAUAAGCACCGGCUAACUCUGUGCCAGCAGCCGCGGUAAUACAGAGGGUGCAAGCGUUAAUCGGAUUUACUGGGCGUAAAGCGUGCGUAGGUGGCCAAUUAAGUCAAAUGUGAAAUCCCCGAGCUUAACUUGGGAAUUGCAUUCGAUACUGGUUGGCUAGAGUAUGGGAGAGGAUGGUAGAAUUCCAGUGUAGCGGUGAAAUGCGUAGAGAUCUGGAGGAAUACCGAUGGCGAAGCAGCCAUCUGGCCUAAUACUGACACUGAGGUACGAAAGCAUGGGGAGCAAACAGGAUUAGAUACCCUGGUAGUCCAUGCCGUAAACGAUGUCUACUAGCCGUUGGGGUCUUUGA